GGACGUGCGGGUACUAAUACAUGCAAGUCGAGCGGACAGAAGGGAGCUUGCUCCCGGAUGUUAGCGGCGGACGGGUGAGUAACACGUGGGUAACCUGCCUGUAAGACUGGGAUAACUCCGGGAAACCGGAGCUAAUACCGGAUAGUUCCUUGAACCGCAUGGUUCAAGGAUGAAAGACGGUUUCGGCUGUCACUUACAGAUGGACCCGCGGCGCAUUAGCUAGUUGGUGAGGUAACGGCUCACCAAGGCGACGAUGCGUAGCCGACCUGAGAGGGUGAUCGGCCACACUGGGACUGAGACACGGCCCAGACUCCUACGGGAGGCAGCAGUAGGGAAUCUUCCGCAAUGGACGAAAGUCUGACGGAGCAACGCCGCGUGAGUGAUGAAGGUUUUCGGAUCGUAAAGCUCUGUUGUUAGGGAAGAACAAGUGCAAGAGUAACUGCUUGCACCUUGACGGUACCUAACCAGAAAGCCACGGCUAACUACGUGCCAGCAGCCGCGGUAAUACGUAGGUGGCAAGCGUUGUCCGGAAUUAUUGGGCGUAAAGGGCUCGCAGGCGGUUUCUUAAGUCUGAUGUGAAAGCCCCCGGCUCAACCGGGGAGGGUCAUUGGAAACUGGGAAACUUGAGUGCAGAAGAGGAGAGUGGAAUUCCACGUGUAGCGGUGAAAUGCGUAGAGAUGUGGAGGAACACCAGUGGCGAAGGCGACUCUCUGGUCUGUAACUGACGCUGAGGAGCGAAAGCGUGGGGAGCGAACAGGAUUAGUAUCGGG
rnacentral:rRNA from 1 species